AUUGAACGCUGGCGGCAGGCUUAACACAUGCAAGUCGAACGAGUGGCGGACGGGUGAGUAAUGCUUGGGAAUCUAGCUUAUGGAGGGGGAUAACUACGGGAAACUGUAGCUAAUACCGCGUACCAUAGGAUUGGCCCCAGUGGGAUUAGGUAGUUGGUGAGGUAAAGGUUCACCAAGCCGACGAUCUCUAUCGGGUCUGAGAGGAUGCCCAGCAAGACUGGGACUGAGACACGGCACAGAGUCCUACGGGAGGCAGCAGUGGGGAAGAUUGCGCAAUGGGGGCAACCUGACGCAGCCAUGCCGCGUGAAUGAAGAAGGCCUUCGGGUUGUAAAGUUCUUUCGGUAGCGAGGCGUUAACUACAGAAGAAGCACCGGCUAACUCCGUGCCAGCAGCCGCGGUAAUAC
rnacentral:rRNA from 1 species